rnacentral:misc_RNA from 1 species
GAUGAAGAACGCAGCGAAAUGCGAUAAGUAAUGUGAAUUGCAGAAUUCAGUGAAUCAUCGAAUCUUUGAACGCACAUUGCGCCCGCCAGUAUUCUGGCGGGCAUGCCUGUUCGAGCGUCAUUUCAACCAUCAAGCCCCCGGGCUUGUGUUGGGGACCUGCGGCUGCCGCAGGCCCUGAAAAGCAGUGGCGGGCUCGCUGUCACACCGAGCGUAGUAGCAUACAUCUCGCUCUGGGCGUGCUGCGGGUUCCGGCCGUUAAACCACCUUUUAACCCAAGGUUGACCUCGGAUCAGGUAGGGAUACCCGCUGAACUUAAGCAUAUCAAUAAGCGGAGGA